UGGGCAACCUGCCCCAGACACAGGGAUAACCCCGGGAAACCGGGGCUAAUACCGGAUACUCCGGUCGAACCGCAUGGCUCGAUCGGGAAAGCUCCGCCGGAGAGGGAUGGACUCGCGGCCUAUCAGCUUGUUGGUGAGGUAAUGGCUCACCAAGGCGACGACGGGUAGCUGGUCCGAGAGGAUGGCCAGCCACAUUGGGACUGAGACACGGCCCAGACUCCUACGGGAGGCAG
rnacentral:rRNA from 1 species